rnacentral:rRNA from 1 species
AUUGAACGCUGGCGGCAGGCCUAACACAUGCAAGUCGAACGAGUGGCGGACGGGUGAGUAAUGUCUGGGAAACUGCCCGAUGGCGGGGGUUCACUACUGGAAACGGUAGCUAAUAACGCAUACCAUCGGAUGUGCCCAGAUGGGAUUAGCUAGUGGGUGGGGUAACGGCGCACCUAGGCGACGAGCCCUAGCUGGUCUGAGAGGAGGACCAGCCACACGGGAACUGAGACACGGUCCAGACUCCGAGGGGAGGCAGCAGUGGGGAAGAUGGGACAAUGGGCGCAAGCCUGAUGCAGCCAUGCCGCGUGGAUGAAGAAGGCCUUCGGGUUGUAAAGUACUUGCAGCGAAGAGGCGUUACUCGCAGAAGAAGCACCGGCUAACUCCGUGCCAGCAGCCGCGGUAAUAC